rnacentral:sRNA from 1 species
GACCCCUACCAUGGAGGAGACCAUCAAAGAUCCCCCCACAUCGGCUGUCUUGCUGGAUCACUGUCAUUUCUCUCAGGUCAUCUUUAACAGUGUGGAGAAGUUCUACAUCCCUGGAGGGGACGUCACAUGUCAUUAUACCUUCACCCAGCAUUUCAUCCCUCGUCGAAAGGAUUGGAUUGGCAUCUUUAGAGUAAGUGGUUAAUUCAGUACCAAGUGAUCAGGAACUAGAGGUGAUUCUUAGUUACCUAACUGUGUGACUCUCUGUGUAUUAUAAGCAUUUCGUAUGAUAUGUGUUGGCAGUUUUUAAAUUCUAGCCAAGCUCCACAGCACUUCUCUCUUCACACAUUAAUGUGUGCUGUGGGACUCAAAUUUUCAUUUCAGUGUCAAGCUAAAAUAAGAUGGCAAAUCAUAUAAUCCUCAAAUUUUGUUAUGCUUUUUUUUUUUGCUUUUUUCUUUUCUUUUCUUUUUUUUUUUGAAAUAGAGUCUUGCUCUGUCACCUAGGCUGGAGUGCAGUGGCACGAUUCGUCUCACUGCUACCUCCACCUCCCGGGUUCAAGCAGUUCUCCUGCCUCAGCAUCCCGAGUAGCUGAGAUUACAGGUAGCUGCCACCACAUCUGGCUAAUUUUUGUAUUUUUAGUAAAGACGAGGUUUCACCAUGUUGGCCAGGCUGGUCUCAAACUCCUGAUCUCAGGUGAUCUGCCUGCCUCAGCCUCCCAAAGUGCUGGAAUUACAGGCGUGACCCACCACGCCUGUCCUUAUUAUGCUGUCAAAAACCAAAUAUAAAUGCUUGCUUGUUGUUGUUGAGAUAGGGUCUUGCUCUGUCUCUCAGAGUGGAGUGUAGUUCACUGCAGCCUCAACCUCCUCCCAGGCUCAGUGAUCCUCCCACCUCAGCCUUUUCAGUAGCUGGGACUACAGGUAUGCAGAACAAUGCCUAACAAUGCCUAACUGAUUUCUUUCUUUUUUUUUUUUUUCUU